UGAUACUCUAUGACAAUGGCCUGUCACC
rnacentral:piRNA from 1 species